rnacentral:misc_RNA from 1 species
GUUUCCGUAGGUGAACCUGCGGAAGGAUCAUUCAUAAUAAAGUGUUCUAUGGCACUUUUUAAAAAUCCAUAUCCACCUUGUGUGCAAUGUUAGAUCUCGUCAAUCUUGGCGAGAUUUUUAUACAUCAACUCAUUCUUUAACUAAUUUGUCUGAAAAAUAUUAUGAAUACUUAAUUCAAAAUACAACUUUCAACAACGGAUCUCUUGGCUCUC